AGCGAACGCUGGCGGCAGGCCUAACACAUGCAAGUCGAACGAACCUUUCGGGGUUAGUGGCGGACGGGUGAGUAACACGUGGGAACGUGCCUUUAGGUUCGGAAUAACUCAGGGAAACUUGUGCUAAUACCGAAUGUGCCCUUCGGGGGAAAGAUUAAUCGCCUUUAGAGCGGCCCGCGUCUGAUUAGCUAGUUGGUUGAGGUAAUGGCUCACCAAGGCGACGAUCAGUAGCUGGUCUGAGAGGAUGAUCAGCCACAUUGGACUGAGACACGGCCCAAACUCCUACGGGAGGCAGCAGUGGGGAAUCUUGCGCAAUGGGCGAAAGCCUGACGCAGCCAUGCCGCGUGAAUGAUGAAGGUCUUAGGAUUGUAAAAUUCUUUCACCGGGGACGAUAAUGACGGUACCCGGAGAAGAAGCCCCGGCUAACUUCGUG
rnacentral:rRNA from 1 species